rnacentral:rRNA from 1 species
GAACGAGACCUUCGGGUCUAGUGGCGCACGGGUGCGUAACGCGUGGGAAUCUGCCCCUUGGUUCGGAAUAACAGUGGGAAACUACUGCUAAUACCGGAUAACGACGUAAGUCCAAAGAUUUAUCGCCGAGGGAUGAGCCCGCGUAGGAUUAGCUAGUUGGUGUGGUAAAGGCGCACCAAGGCGACGAUCCUUAGCUGGUCUGAGAGGAUGAUCAGCCACACUGGGACUGAGACACGGCCCAGACUCCUACGGGAGGCAGCAGUGGGGAAUAUUGGACAAUGGGCGAAAGCCUGAUCCAGCAAUGCCGCGUGAGUGAUGAAGGCCUUAGGGUUGUAAAGCUCUUUUACCCGGGAUGAUAAUGACAGUACCGGGAGAAUAAGCUCCGGCUAACUCCGUG